UGGGGAAUAUUGCGCAAUGGGGGGCAACCCUGACGCAGCAACGCCGCGUGAGCGAUGAAGGUUUUCGGAUCGUAAAGCUCUGUUCUGAGGGAAGAUAAUGACGGUACCUCAGGAGAAAGCCCCGGCUAACUACGUGCCAGCAGCCGCGGUAAUACGUAGGGGGCAAGCGUUGUCCGGAUUCACUGGGCGUAAAGAGCACGUAGGCGGUUAAUUAAGUCAGGUGUGAAAGUUUUCGGCUCAACCGGAAAAGUGCACUUGAAACUGGAUAACUUGAGUAUCGGAGAGGUAAGCGGAAUUCCUAGUGUAGCGGUGAAAUGCGUAGAGAUUAGGAAGAACACCGGUGGCGAAGGCGGCUUACUGGACGAUAACUGACGCUGAGGUGCGAAAGCGUGGGGAGCGAACAGGAUUAGAUACCCUGGUAGU
rnacentral:rRNA from 1 species